AUGAGGACUCUUGCUGGACCUUUCCUCCUAUUCUUGUGGCUGCAGCUGCAUUGUGUGCGUAGAGGAGAGACGGUAGAGCAGAGUCCUUCUUUCCUGAGCGUUCAGGAGGGAGACAGCUGUGUUAUCAACUGCACUUACACAGACAGCACCUUCAACUACUUCUAUUGGUAUAAGCAAGAACCUGGAGCAGGCCUCCAGUUGCUUUUAAAUAUUUUCUCAAGUAUGGACAAGAAAGAAGAGAAAAGCUUCACUGUCUUCAUGAAUAAGAAGGACAAACACCUCUCCCUGCACAUCGCAGCUGCCCAUGCUGUGGACUCAGCCACCUACUCUGUGCAGCCUCAGCACAGAGCAGGCUCAAGACAGAAGCAGACGCCUGUGCAGUUUGAAGACCGCUGUGCCUUGGUUCAAAGGAGGAGACCCCUGUGA